GACGGAGGAGGCUAGCGUUGUUCGGAAUCACUGGGCGUAAAGAGCGCGCAGGCGGUCGUUCAAGUCGAGUGUGAAAGCCCCCGGCUCAACUGGGGAGGGUCACUUGAUACUGAUCGACUCGAAGGCAGGAGAGGGAAGCGGAAUUCCCGGUGUAGUGGUGAAAUGCGUAGAUAUCGGGAGGAACACCCGUGGCGAAGGCGGCUCUCUGGGACGGUACUGACGCUGAGACGCGAAAGCGUGGGGAGCGAACAGG
rnacentral:rRNA from 1 species